GGAGGAGUGGCCGAGUGGACAAAGGCGGUAGACUGUAAAUCUAUUAGAUUUUAUCUUUCGUUGGUUCGAAUCCAACCUUCUCCA
rnacentral:tRNA from 1 species